rnacentral:rRNA from 1 species
UUGGAGGGCAAGUCUGGUGCCAGCAGCCGCGGUAAUUCCAGCUCCAAUAGCGUAUAUUAAAGUUGUUGCAGUUAAAAAGCUCGUAGUUGAAUUUCGGGAUUGACGUGAUGGUCAUGCCUUAAGGGGUAUGAACUGUUACUGUUGAUUUCUCACCUUCUGGAGAAACUUGAUGUCCUUUAUUGGGUGUCUUGCGGAUCCAGGACCUUUACCUUGAAAAAAUUAGAGUGUUUAAAGCAGGCAUUUUUGCUCGAAUACAUUAGCAUGGAAUAAUAGAAUAGGACGGCAUGGUUCUAUUUUGUUGGUUUCUAGGAUCACCGUAAUGAUUAAUAGGGAUAGUUGGGGGCAUUAGUAUUCAAUUGUCAGAGGUGAAAUUCUUGGAUUUAUUGAAGACUAACUACUGCGAAAGCAUUUGCCAAGGAUGUUUUCAUUAAUCAAGAACGAAAGUUAGGGGAUCGAAGACGAUCAGAUACCGUCGUAGUCUUAACCAUAAACUAUGCCGACUAGGAAUCAGACGAUGUUAAUUUUUUAAUGACUCGUUUGGCACCUUACAGAAAC